rnacentral:tRNA from 1 species
GGCAGAAUGGCCAGUGGUCUAAGGCACUGGUUUCAGGUACCAGUCACUGCGGUGGCGAGGGUUCGAAUCCCACUUCUGUCA